UACGUAGGGUGCGAGCGUUAAUCGGAAUUACUGGGCGUAAAGCGUGCGCAGGCGGUGAUGUAAGACAGAUGUGAAAUCCCCGGGCUCAACCUGGGAACUGCAUUUGUGACUGCAUCGCUGGAGUGCGGCAGAGGGGAUGGAAUCCGCGUGUAGCAGUGAAAUGCGUAGAUAUGUGGAGGAACACCGAUGGCGAAGGCAGCCCCCUGGGUCAAGACUGACGCUCAUGCACGAAAGCGUGGGAGCAAACAGG
rnacentral:rRNA from 1 species